GAUUCUAUAUUUUCCAGAAAAGGUAAAAAAGUUGUGAUAAGUGAAAAUUCAUCCAAAGAAAAAGCAAGUAAAACAUACUCGGUAAAUGCAGCAACAUCAAUCCCCUUUCAUCUUUUCUUGGAAAACUGCGCCACUCCCUCCGCCGCCUUCUAUAACCCAUCGACUUGCAAGUCGCCACCACCCUCUCCGCCGCUCCCGGUGAAGUAUCUAUAAGUGAAAGAAAGGGAAGGCUCGUCGCAGUUCCGUACUAGCAAAAACCCAAUCGCCACUGCAAUUACCAGUUAAAAGUUCUCCUGAAUUUUGUUUGAGAGAGAAAGAGUCAGAUGGCUUAUGCUGCUGUUAUUUCUUUAAUGAACACAAUCGAGGGUCUCCGCAAUUCUUCUCGUAUUUCCUUUGAUGUCACCCCUUGUCCAGAAAUCAUAGAACCUGCUUACGAGGAGCUGAAGUCCUUGCAAGAAAUUCUGAAAAGAUUGGAUGGGAGCAGCAAGAGCAGUAUCAGGAUGAAUGCUUUGGAUGCUCAAAUCAGAGACGCUGUCUCACAAUUUGAAGAUAAACUUGAAUCCCAUAUCUCAAAUCAGUUUCUUUCACAAUCUGAUGAAAGCAUUGACGGAGAUGAGAGCCAUCCAUUGGUAGUCUCCAUUGACCUGCAGGAUUUAAGGCUAGAUUUUUGUUCUUUCGUCGAAAUGGCGAAGAGAAUGGAGGAGGAGUACGUUGAUCAAUUAAUUAACAUGACUGAAGAAGAAGAAGAUGAUGAUGAUGAAGUUGUUUCCUCCAGAAUUGAUUUCAGCGGAAAUAAGUUAAAUACAAAGAUGGUUGGAUUCUCUGAUCUCUUUGGAUUAAUCAAAGAUGGGAUCAUGGGGGAUGAGUGGUUCCGUAUUUUAGCAAUUGUAGGUAUGGCGGGCAUUGGUAAGACUACCCUGGUUAAUGAAAUUUUUCAAGACAAAAUGGUUUUGAGUCGAUUUGAGCGUUGUGCAUGGGUGAAAGUUGGUAGAAAAUUUCAAUUACAUGAGAUUGCUCGAAAUAUACUAGCUCAAGUGAAGCAUCCAGUCACGGAUGAAGAGAUUUCAGAAAAGGGAGUAUCUUUAUACUUGAAAGAAAUUUUGAAGAAGAAGCGUUGUCUCAUUGUGCUGGACGAUGUAUGGGACAGAAGUGUCUGGGAUUACCUGAGAAGUUCUUUUCCCUAUGGCUAUGAAGCCUAUGAUCCAAAUCCAACCUCUCAAAUCUUGCUUACAACAAGACUACAACAAGUUGCUAACGCCGCUUUGCAAGCAAAUUAUGAUGGCAUGAAAGAAAUGCGUUUUCUGAACAAGGAAGAAAGUUGGGAUCUUCUUCGUGACAAGGUGUUUGGUGAGGAUCCAUGCCCGCUUAAACUCGAGAAAGUUGGGCAGAAGAUUGCUGAAAACUGUGAAGGUCUUCCUCUUUUGAUCGUGAGGGUUGCCGACCUCCUGUCCAAAGCCGAGAAGACACCGGAGUACUGGAACAAGGUAGCAGAGAAACGAAAUUCAGUUUUCGUGGAUGCAUAUGAUCAAAUAUUAGAGGUACUAUAUCCAAGCUACGAGUAUUUACCUCAGCAUCUAAAAGCAUGCUUUCUAUAUAUGGGUGUUUUUCCUCAAAAUUAUGAGAUCCCUCGAUCCAAGCUCAUCAAUAUGUGGAUUGCCGAGGGUACAUUUCUUGAGCCAAGCAUGCUUGAAAAAUCAGAAUAUCACGCUGUUAACUAUUUGAAUGAGCUUAUUUCCAAUAGUCUUGUCAGCUCCCACCGAGCGACGUGUUGGUGGUUUGUAGGGCAAGAACUAAUGAAAACUAUCAGCAUUCAUUCUGCCUUGGGGCAUAUGGCUACCAAAAUUGCUAGGAUGAACAAUUUCUUUCAUGUCCUAAGUAGUCGUUUCGAUGGUUUAGAAGAAGAUAUGGAAUUCCAACGUCGACUAUGCAUCCACAAUAACAUUUUAUUUGGCAUCAGAGAGUUGUACGAGUCUGUGGGAAAUGAUUCUGCAUCCAUUGCACGUUCUCUCCUUUGUCUUGGUCCAUUUCAUCGAUAUCCAGUGCCGGUGUAUGUCAAUUCAAGGCUGCUGAGAGUUCUUGAUGCUCUUAACAUCCGUUUCUACGAGUUCCCACUUAAGGUACUAAAACUAGUUCGGUUAAAAUACCUUGCUCUCACAUACAACGGAGACCUCCCUACUUCCAUAUCCAAACUUCGGAACCUCCAAUUCUUGAUUAUCCAUCGCCACACGAGCAUUCACUCUUGUGGAUCUCUCUCGUCCUCGUAUGUCCCAUUGGAGAUAUGGGAUAUGCAAGAACUGAAGCAUAUUGAAGUCUUGGGAAGCAACCUACCAAAUUCUAAUGCUAGCGUUUCCUUAGAAAAGCUCUCUAAACUCUUAGGUGUGAGUGCUUACAGCUGUACAAAGGGGGUCCUUGAAAGAAUAUCCAAUCUGAAAAAAUUAGGAAUUCAGAUUGAACUGGUGGUUGAUGAUGAUAAUAGCGAACUCUUUGGUCGCUUGAACAGCAUUGGUAGUCUACGAAAUCUAGACUCCCUUAAAUGUGUUGUUGUGAAUCCUGAGAUGAGGUGUGGCGUCAUUCCUCCGCCCGCCCCUCGUUCCAUGUUCCCGCCAAAUCUGCGGAAGUUGACUCUGAGUGGCUUAGGCUAUCCUUGGGAAUACAUGAGUAUACUUGCUAAACUGGGAAAUCUCUCGGUGCUCAAAUUGCAAUGCUACGCCUUUCAAGGCCCGAGGUGGGAGAUAAAAGAGGACGAACCCUUUACCUUUGGAUUCCUUCAAAUUGAAGACACUGAUUUGGCUGAAUGGAAAGUGGCACCCGGUGGCAUGCCGUGUAUUAGGAAAUUGAGCAUAAAACACUGCUACAAUUUGGAAGAACUCAAUUGGGAACCUGAUAACUACGUGAUUAGUAAGAUAGAAGUAGUUGAUUGCAACCCUUCCCUUGUCGCCCGUGUAAACCAAAUUGAAGCAGCUCAGUUGGCAAGGCAAUAUCCUAACCUCAGCGUUUCUCUCCAUUCUUCUUGGGAUGAUGCGAAACGCAGGUCAACUCCAGCCCCAGUCGAAAGCAAAAAGACAUUUUGGGACAGGGUUCCUUUACAUUCUGGGAAUCUUCUCUGAAACCAGACAGAAAUGAUUACAAAUUGAAGAGUUUGCUGUGAAGGCUGAUGAAUACUUCGACUCUCGAUGAUAAGAAAGAAACUGAAUUGGGGAAUUUUCAUAGCUGCAACUCAAUUCACUUUUGGUACAGGUGCAGGUGUCGGACACGGGUGCGGGGAUGUUAUCCCGGCUGCUAAGUUUUCCAGAUUUAGGAUACGUGGACACAGGAAAAAAGGAUCCGCAAUUAGGAGACUGGUGCAGGUACAUGUUUGAGCAAUUUGUAUUAGAUUUUGUUUUCAUGUAAUAGAUAAUAAAGAAAAAACAUUUGAUAAAGUACUUAGCAUCAAGUUUCUUUGAUCAUUGUAUCUCAACACUUGAAAGUUUGAAGUUACUUAAAUGCAGGAUUUUUUUUUUCCAUUUUUUAGAAGACGGGCCAUUUUUACAAUUUAGCAAAAGUUCAAGAUAUUUUUUUUGCAUUUUUUAAAGUUUAAGCCAUUUUUUCAAAUCGCUUCAAAAUUCGACCCAUAAGCUACAAUUAGCCCAUCUAAAAAUAUUUUUGGUCUUUGUCAAAUAGUUAGUUGAAAUGUAUCCAAAUAUGAGUGCGCAUGUGAACGUGAUUGCUUGUUCAAACGCACACCAAUCUUGAAUGUUCCUUUCUUUCAACUUAAAAAAUAUUAUUUCCGCUGCCUGCUUUAUAGUAUUACUUUUCCAUUGGCUUCAAUAAUUGAGAAUGUGAUUUCUGAUAUAUAUUUAAUGCCAUUGACUUAUCAGCAAAAGUAGCCACUGACAUAAUUUAAGAUGGCAGUUUAAUGGCCAUUGCUCACAAUUAUUGAAAUAGUUGAUUUGCAAUUCCGUCAAAAUCCUCCCGCCGCUGCCGCUGCCGCCGCCACCAGCUAUCGUGCUAUGGCAGCUUAUGGUGCAGCGACUUCUCUCAAGAAUACAAUUCAGCGUAUUCUACAAUCGUCUCGCAUUUCCCUCGUUUCCCACUCUCCAGAAAUCUUACUACCCGCCUAUGAUGAGAUGGAUCGCUUGCAGAGAGUUCUGCUAUUAUUGGACAACACCAGCUACAGCAAGAUCAGGACGAAGGUGAAUGCUGCGGAUGAACGAAUCAAAGAAGCAGUUUGGGAAUUCGAAGAUUUACUUGAAUCCAGUAUCUUACAUCACAUUCUUCCACAACUCGAAAGCAGAUCGGGUGGCGAGAAAGACACCUUGUCACUCUCUGUAGAUCUGCAGAGUCUGCAACAUAGCGUUGGUGGCUUCGUCGAGAUGGUGAAGAUGAUGAAGGUGGAGUACGUCAUUGAAUUGGAGAGUAUGCCAGAAGAAGAAGGCGAGCCUAUUUCCUCAAGAAUUUAUUUUGGUGGAAUCAAGUCAAAGAUGGUCGGAUUAUCCGAUCAUUUUGAAAAAGCCAAAGAUCAUCUUCUUGAAGAAAAUAACAAGAAACCCUAUUCAAUUAUGGGGAUGGCAGGCGUUGGAAAGACAACUCUUGCUAAGCGUAUUUUUGAAGAUCCAUCUAUCCAGAGACAUUUCGAGUUUCGAGCAUGGGUCAAAGUAGGAAGAAAAUGUGAAUCUGAUGAACUAUUACGAUGCAUUCUAGCUCAAGUCGAUCCUAGCUCUUACCCAGUGCUUACCCAAGAAGAUGUUGAUGAGGAGGAAAUAGUUGAACUCUUGAGAGAAAGAUUAAAGGGUAAGAAAUGUCUCAUUGUGUUGGAUGAUGUAUGGGACAAAGAAGUAGAUUGCUUGACAAAUUGCUUGCGAGAAAAGAAUAUUGUUGGAAUGAUUCGAUUCUUACUUACAAGUAGACAACAAACAAUAUACACGGAGGAUGGGUACCAAAGAGUGCGCUUGUUGAAUGUUGAAGAAAGUAAGGAAUUACUUGGUGAGAAGGUGUUUGGCGAAGAUGGUUUCCCACUUCAACUUGCAGAAUUGGGAGAGAAGAUUGCCAAGAAAUGUGAAGGUCUUCCUCUUAUGAUAGUCACGGUUGCAGAGCUCCUAUCAAAAGCCGACAAGACCCCAGAAUAUUGGACUGAGGUACUCAAACAACAUAGUCCACUCUUCAUGGAUGCAUAUAAUCAAAUAUCAGAGGUACUUUUUCCAAGCUAUGACUACUUACCCCAACAUUUAAAAAUGUUUUUUCUCUAUAUGGGAGCUUUCCGUCCAUAUCUUGAUAUCCAUCCACUCCAGAUCAAAACUCUGUUGAGUGUUGAGGGAUUUCUUGAACCGAUUGGUUUAGAAAGUUUUGAAGAUUUUUCCAAUACAUGCUUGAGAAAGCUUCUUAUGUGGUAUCAUCUUGUUCUCGACACAACAACUUGUUGGUGGGAGGGAAAGUUUCGCGUGCAUUCUUGCUGGCAAUACUUGUGUAAGGUAGAAGCUAGUAGGAUCAAGUUUGUGCAUGUCUUACAAAGUUGUGAUGAUGUUAUAAAAGACCAACGCCGGUUGAGUGCC